UACGAAGGGGGCUAGCGUUGCUCGGAAUCACUGGGCGUAAAGGGUGCGUAGGCGGGUCUUUAAGUCAGGGGUGAAAUCCUGGAGCUCAACUCCAGAACUGCCUUUGAUACUGAGGAUCUUGAGUACGGGAGAGGUGAGUGGAACUGCGAGUGUAGAGGUGAAAUUCGUAGAUAUUCGCAAGAACACCAGUGGCGAAGGCGGCUCACUGGACCGGUACUGACGCUGAGGCGCGAAAGCGUGGGUAGCAAACAGG
rnacentral:rRNA from 1 species